UGCUCGGAAGUUGUUGUUAUUGAAGAUCUUUCCUCCAUUGCGUUUUCCACAGGAUGAGGCUUUAAAGGGGGGCUUCCCUUUCUGAGUUCAGGUGGUACACAAGGAUCAAUUUAGAAGGCUUUGAGUGGUGAUCAAACUAAAAUAGCUUGACGGGUCAAUGGACUGUCCUACCUUGUGUGUUAGAUGGAAAAAAUAACAUGAUUUUGGAAUGGAGGUCACUGAAACUGAAACGAAGACUUGUGAAAAAGUUUCAAGAAAUAAUCUACCCCCAAAAUGAAAAUGUUGUCAUCAUCAAUUCAUCUUCAUGUUGCUCUAAACCUGUACGUCUUCUUCGGUGGAACAUAAAAGGGCUUGGAUCUUGGCGUGGCAGAAGGUUGCAGUAAUACCAUCCUCCUGCCCACAGUCUGUGCUUCAUACUCACUGACGCACUGUCUGCCUUAUUGCGGCUGAGUAAUGUCAGGUGCUGAUAGUGAGCGUCUACUCCUCCAGGUCUGUGC